rnacentral:rRNA from 1 species
GAUGAACGCUGGCGGCGUGCCUAAUACAUGCAAGUCGAGCGAACGGACGAGAAGCUUGCUUCUCUGAUGUUAGCGGCGGACGGGUGAGUAACACGUGGAUAACCUACCUAUAAGACUGGGAUAACUUCGGGAAACCGGAGCUAAUACCGGAUAAUAUUUUGAACCGCAUGGUUCAAAAGUGAAAGACGGUCUUGCUGUCACUUAUAGAUGGAUCCGCGCUGCAUUAGCUAGUUGGUAAGGUAACGGCUUACCAAGGCAACGAUGCAUAGCCGACCUGGGAGGGUGAUCGGCCACACUGGAACUGAGACACGGUCCAGACUCCUACGGGAGGCAGCAGUAGGGAAUCUUCCGCAAUGGGCGAAAACCUGACGGAGCAACGCCGCGUGAGUGAUGAAGGUCUUCGGAUCGUAAAACUCUGUUAUUAGGGAAGAACAUAUGUGUAAGUAACUGUGCACAUCUUGACGGUACCUAAUCAGAAAGCCACGGCUAACUACGUG